UCCCCCCCUUAUUGUUUUUUUAGGGCCCCCACCCACCGCUUUUAGGGGUGGGGGCCGGGGGGAGAACAGUAGGUCUCCCCCUAUCUUUAUUUAGGGCCCCCACCCACCGCUCAGGGUUGGGGUCCAAAGGGGGAGAGGACAGU